rnacentral:rRNA from 1 species
GUAGGUGGCAAGCGUUGUCCGGAAUUAUUGGGCGUAAAGCGCGCGCAGGCGGUUCUUUAAGUCUGAUGUGAAAGCCCACGGCUCAACCGUGGAGGGUCAUUGGAAACUGGAGAACUUGAGUACAGAAGAGGAAAGCGGAAUUCCACGUGUAGCGGUGAAAUGCGUAGAGAUGUGGAGGAACACCAGUGGCGAAGGCGGCUUUCUGGUCUGUAACUGACGCUGAGGCGCGAAAGCGUGGGGAGCAAACAGGGAUUAGAUACCCCUGGUAGUCCACGCCGUAGACGAUGAGUGCUAAGUGUUAGGGGGGGUUUUACCGGCCCCCCCUUAAGUGCUGCAGCUAACGCAUUAAGCACUCCGCCUGGGAGUACGGCCGCAAGGCUG